rnacentral:rRNA from 1 species
UACGUAGGGUGCGAGCGUUACUCGGAAUUACUGGGCGUAAAGCGUGCGCAGGCGGUUUUGUAAGCCAGAUGUGAAAGCCCCGGGCUUAACCUGGGAAUGGCAUUUGGGACUGCAAGGCUGGAGUGUGGCAGAGGAGACUGGAAUUCCUGGUGUAGCAGUGAAAUGCGUAGAUAUCAGGAGGAAUACCGAUGGCGAAGGCGGAUCUCUGGGCCUGUCCUGACGCUCAGGCGCGAAAGCUAGGGGAGCAAACAGG